rnacentral:rRNA from 1 species
AACCCUUGACAUCCUGUGCUACUACCAGAGAUGGUACGUUCCCUUCGGGGACGCAGUGACAGGUGCUGCAUGGCUGUCGUCAGCUCGUGUCGUGAGAUGUUCGGUUAAGUCCGGCAACGAGCGCAACCCACAUCUUUAGUUGCCAUCAGGUUAUGCUGGGCACUCUAGAGAAACUGCCCGUGAUAAGCGGGAGGAAGGUGUGGAUGACGUCAAGUCCUCAUGGCCCUUACGGGUUGGGCUACACACGUGCUACAAUGGCAGUGACAAUGGGUUAAUCCCAAAAAGCUGUCUCAGUUCGGAUUGGGGUCUGCAACUCGACCCCAUGAAGUCGGAAUCGCUAGUAAUCGCGUAACAGCAUGACGCGGUGAAUACGUUCCCGGGUCUUGUACACACCGAAU